AUUGAACGCUGGCAGCAGGCCUAACACAUGCAAGUCGAGCGGAGCGGCGGACGGGUGAGUAAUGCCUAGGAAUCUGCCUGGUAGUGGGGGAUAACGUCCGGAAACGGGCGCUAAUACCGCAUACUAUCAGAUGAGCCUAGGUCGGAUUAGCUAGUUGGUGGGGUAAAGGCCUACCAAGGCGACGAUCCGUAACUGGUCUGAGAGGAUGAUCAGUCACACUGGAACUGAGAAACGGUCCAGACGCCUACGGGAGGCAGCAGUGGGGAAUCUUCGGCAAUGGGGGGAACCCUGACCGAGCGACGCCGCGUGGGGGAUGAAGGCUUUCGGGUUGUAAACCUCUUUCGCUAUCGAACGGGUAGGUGGAGAAGAAGCGCCGGCUAACUACGUGCCAGCAGCCGCGGUAAUUC
rnacentral:rRNA from 1 species